rnacentral:rRNA from 1 species
GAUGAACGCUGGCGGCGUGCCUAAUACAUGCAAGUUGAGCGCUGAAGGUAGGUACUUGUACCAAUUGGAUUAGCAGCGGACGGGUGAGUAACGCGUGGGGAACCUGCCUUUGAGAGUGGGACAACAUCUGGAAACGAAUGCUAAUACCGCAUAAAAACUUUAAACACAAGUUUUAAGUUUGAAAGAUGCAAUUGCAUCACUUAAAGAUGAUCUCCCGUUGUAUUAGCUAAUUGGUGAGGUAAAGGCCGAACAAGGCGAUGGUACAGAAGCGGACCGAGAAGGGGGUCGGCCACAACGGGACUGAGACACGGCCCAAACCCCUACGGGAGGCAACAGUAGGGAAACUUCGGCAAUGGACCAAAGUCUGAACGGGCAACGCCGCGGGGGUUGAGAAGGUUUUCGGAUCGUAAAACUCUGUUGGUAGAGGAGAACGUUAGGGAGAGGGGAAAACUCAUGAAGUGACGGUAACUACCCAGAAAGCGACGGCUAACUACGUG